rnacentral:rRNA from 1 species
UCUAGAAGAAAAAAGGUAAUACUUCUUAAGGAAACCUUCAUCUUUUGGCGGCCUUAUUCCUUUUUAGAGGAACUCGUCUCAUAAUCGACAAUCCUCGCUAUUUCUAACUUUUCCCUUUUUCUCUUAUACCGCCGUCUUUAGAAUCACUUUUUUUUCAAAAAAAAAGAGUUUUAUUAAGUCAGGUAAAGGUGAGGAUUAUGGGAAAGAGAAGAUAAGUUACUCAUAAAUAUAAUUUUUGGAUUAAUAACUAACAUUAUUAUGAAACAGGAUUUAAUAGUAAUUUUUUACUAAUAUUUUACAAUGAACUAGUAAAGUUAGGUGU